GAAAAAACGUAAAGGAAGACGACGACGAAAAACCCACCAACAAAUUGAAACCCGGUUCAGUUGACAUAAUCCGUUCAGUAAUGUCACGUGGAGUAGACGAAAACGAAGAUACUGCCGUGAGAAUCUUCGAUUAUCAGACAUAUAAGAAUUUAGAAAUGACGAAGAAAGAACAGGAUGUAUCUCGAAUGUAUGACGAUAUCCAUACUCAACUUAUUUUGGAAAAAGAAAGUAUCUCUUGUCGAAAGCAUGUUGCACCGUUGAUCCAGAAACUGAAACAAGAAGAGUCCAUUGACGGUCUUUACGGAUUGGCUGAUGAAAUUAUUUGGUGUGAGCCUGUCGUCGAUAAAACAAGAAAGAAAUGAAGCCAGAGUCGAUCCAUUGUCGAAAAAUUACCAGUAACUAUUGGAAGCAUUACUUUUUUAAUAUCACUUAUGUUGUUCUAG